AAGGAGGAUAUGCUCCUGGAGCAGCUGCCAGACCCAGAGGCUCCGUGUGCCUCUGGCUGGAAGGGAAUGGGACCCAUGCACUUGAGCCGGGGCCAGGCCUUGGCACCCUCGAACCAACUGUGGCAUGUGGCGCAUGUCUGCACUUGACCGUAUCCCGCUGCCCAGGGAGGCUGUGAUACGGUUCACAGGAAGGCCCAAGAGGAGCCCGGAUCCGUGCGCCGGACAGAGGAGCCCCUGAUCCACAGUCCACAGCUCGCAACCCAGCGGGAAGCCAAGUGAGCACUGCAGACGCCCCCAGGUGGCCCAUACGCAGAGGGACACAUGUUGGAGGGGCCCCUUCUUUUGAACAGUGCCCAUACACCCUGGUGUUACGAAGUUGUAUGUGAUGUGAACACUGUGAUGUUGAUUGAUUAAAUGUAAAACAGUU